rnacentral:rRNA from 1 species
GUUGUUGCAGUUAAAAAGCUCGUAGUUGAACUUCACGCCUGGCCUGGGUGGUCUGCCUCACGGUAUGCACUGUCUGGCUGGGUCUUACCUCUUGGUGAGCCAGUAUGCCCUUCACUGGGUGUAUAGGGGAACCAGGACCUUUACCUUGAGAAAAUUAGAGUGUUCAAAGCAGGCCUAUGCCCGAAUACAUUAGCAUGGAAUAAUAAAAUAGGACGUGCGGUUCUAUUUUGUUGGUUUCUAGAGUCGCCGUAAUGAUUAAUAGGGAUAGUUGGGGGCAUUAGUAUUCAGUUGCUAGAGGUGAAAUUCUUGGAUUUACUGAAGACUAACUACUGCGAAAGCAUUUGCCAAGGAUGUUUUCAUUACUCAAGAACGAAGGUUAGGGGAUCGAAAACGAUCAGAUACCGUUGUAGUCUUAA